GUCUGCUUGAAGAUAUAAGAAGUCUAGCCUGCUCUCUGAUAAUUUUAAGGGCCGCGGUAAUUUGACCGUGCAAAGGUAGCAUAAUAGUUAGUUUUUUAAUUGAAAUCUUGUAUGAAUGGUUGGACAAAAGAAAUACUGUCUCUAUAAUUAUUUUUGAAUUUAACUUUUAAGUGAAAAGGCUUAAAUAUUUUAAAAAGACGAUAAGACCCUAUAAAGCUUUAUAAGAAGUCUAUAUUUAGUUGAAAUAAAUAAUAAAAUUUUGAUAUGUGCUCUUAUUUUAUUGGGGAGAUAAGAUUAUAAAUUAAUAUAACUAAGUUUUAUUAAAACAGAAAUAAAUGUUUAUAGAAAUUAAAAGAUCCUUUUUAUGGAUUUUAAGUUUAAGUUACUUUAGGGAUAACAGCGUUAUUUCUCUUAAGAGUUCAUAUCGAAAGAGGAGAUUGCGACCUCGAUGUUGAAUUAAAAUUUCUAGAUUAUUGCAGAAGUAGUCUUAGAAGGUCUGUUCGACCUUUAAAUUUUUACA
rnacentral:rRNA from 1 species